rnacentral:rRNA from 1 species
GCACUUUAAGCAGUGAAGAAGACUCUAUGGUUAAUACCCAUAGACGAUGACAUUUGCUGAAGAAUAAGCACCGGCUAACUCUGUGCCAGCAGCCGCGGUAAUACAGAGGGUGCAAGCGUUAAUCGGAAUUACUGGGCGUAAAGCGAGCGUAGGUGGCUUGAUAAGUCAGAUGUGAAAGCCCCGGGCUUAACCUGGGAACGGCAUCUGAUACUGUUAGGCUAGAGUAGGUGAGAGGAAGGUAGAAUUCCAGGUGUAGCGGUGAAAUGCGUAGAGAUCUGGAGGAAUACCGAUGGCGAAGGCAGCCUUCUGGCAUAAUACUGACACUGAGGCUCGAAAGCGUGGGUAGCAAACAGGAUUAGAUACCCUGGUAGUCCACGCCGUAAACGAUGUCUACUAGUCGUUGG